rnacentral:misc_RNA from 1 species
AAAUGCGAUAAGUAGUGUGAAUUGUAGAAUUCAGUGAAUCAUCGAAUCUUUGAACGCACAUUGCGCCCCUUGGUAUUCCAUGGGGCAUGCCUGUUCGAGCGUCAUUUGUACCCUCAAGCUCUGCUUGGUGUUGGGUGUUUGUCCCGUCUCCGCGCGUGGACUCGCCCCAAAGUGAUUGGCAGCCGGCGUACUGGUCCCGGAGCGCAGCACAUGUCGCGCAAACGAGUGCCUUGGUACGGCGGCGUCCAUAAGCCCCUCUCUCACGCUCUUGACCUCGGAUCAGGUAGGGAUACCCGCUGAACUUAAGC